rnacentral:sRNA from 1 species
CCUCCGGAAGAGACGAGCGCGGUAACACCGUUCACAGAGCUAGCCGGACGUCCUCCGACUCUAGAUAUUUGUCAAAUAUUUUCGGAAGAUGGCUGAUCCUUGGCAGGAAUGCAUGGAUUAUGCAGUAACUCUAGCAAGACAAGCUGGAGAGUUUGUGAAGCUAUAAAAAAUGAAAUGAAUGUUAUGCUGAAAAGUUCUCCAGUUGAUUUGGUAACUGCUACGGACCAAAAAGUUGAAAAAAUGCUUAUCUCUUCCAUAAAGGAAAAGUAUCCAUCUCACAGUUUCAUUGGUGAGGAAUCUGUGGCAGCUGGGGAAAAAAGUAUCUUAACCGACAACCCCACAUGGAUCAUUGACCCUAUUGAUGGAACAACUAACUUUGUACACAGCUGUUUCAAUUGGCUUUGCUGUAAAUAAAAAGAUAGAAUUUGGAGUUGUGUACAGUUGUGUGGAAGGCAAGAUGUACACUGCCAGAAAAGGAAAAGGUGCCUUUUGUAAUGGUCAAAAACUACAAGUUUCACAACAAGAAGAUAUUACCAAAUCUCUCUUGGUGACUGAAUUGGGCUCUUCCAGAACACCAGAGACUGUGAGAAUGGUUCUUUCUAAUAUGGAAAAGCUUUUUUGCAUUCCUGUUCAUGGGAUCCGGAGUGUUGGAACAGCAGCUGUUAAUAUGUGCCUUGUGGCAACUGGCGGAGCAGAUGCAUAUUAUGAAAUGGGAAUUCACUGCUGGGAUG